rnacentral:rRNA from 1 species
UACGGGGGGGGCAAGCGUUGUUCGGAAUUACUGGGCGUAAAGGGCUCGUAGGCGGCCAACUAAGUCGGAUGUGAAAUCCCCAGGCUUAACCUGGGAACUGCAUCCGAUACUGGAUGGCUUGAAUCCGGGAGAGGGAUGCAGAAUUCCAGGUGUAGCGGUGAAAUGCGCAGAUAUCAGGAGGAACACCGGUGGCGAAGGUGGGUCUCUGGGCCGAUACUGACGCUGAGGAGCGAAAGCGUGGGGAGCAAACAGG